UUAAAGUACCAAAAAUAUCUUUAGCAGUGACCAAAUUAAGUCAAAAAAAAAAAUGGCAACUCCUGAAGAAAACAUCGCAGCUGCAGCUCCGGCACCGGCGGCAGAACCACCAGCGGAGGAAGCUUUAGCGGCCGCCGGUGUUGACACAGCGACCAAAGAGGUUGAAACGCCGAAGGAAGUCAAGGAGGAGAAGAAAGGAGGAGCACAGGAUCUCAAGUCAACCCUUUUGAUUUCAGGGGCUGUAGUAGCUGUGGUUGGAGCAGUUCUAGCUAUUGUUAAGAAGGUGAAAGAGUCAGCUAAUUGAAUGUAGAUCCUUUGUAUCGCAAACUUCAUAUUUCCAUUCGCAACUUCAUUUUGUACAUUUUCCCCCCUUUUUGUAAGACGAGCCUAAACUCUCUCUCAGCCUUGAAGGGAAAUCAAUAAAUUUCAUAUGCUUUAAUUAUAA